UUUCAAUGUUGCUGGACGAAUAGUAGUCGUACAGGGGCUGACUCACUGAACAGUUUCUGAACAGAAUGAAAACGAGAGAGAGAGAGUUGGGCAAAAGGUGGAGGAAUUGAGAUCAACCUGAAUCUAAUAUCCUGAUACAAAGAUGAUCUGGUCAAGUUGGAUAGCUCGUACGAGUAUGCUGAUUCGUCAGAAUCUCUUGAUUGGGUGCAAGAAAUCGAAGGCUGAAAUAACGAUGAAUUGCUUAUGAAUUUUUGGUGUUCAUGAAGGAAUGAAGCUCGUUUCCAUCACAUUUUAUUACAAAAUUUCUAUCAAAUGAUGCAAGAUUACAUAUGGGAAUAACUUAAUAAUUAUUUACCAGUGAUAGAACUUUGAAUGCUAUGCCAUUAAGACAAUCCUUUUCUUUACUCCUUAACCCUCUUCAAAUUCUUAGAUCAAGACCAAACUUCUAAGUCAUUUAGACACCUAAAUAAGUCGAGAACUUGAAAGAAGAAAUUUUUUUUCUUUCUCUCUCUUUCUCGUGAAUCAUUUCUGAAGUUUGUCAAGUUUUUGACUUCCAGAGGGGGGAGGGGAGGAUUUAAGCAUAGUUUAAAAAGAUUCAAAAGUGUUUAACGAGAAAUUCUCGUGAAGAAACUAAAGAUCGAUUCGAACAGCGUCCUUUUGAAGAUCCUCGAGUAAGAAACAAUGAUCUGUGACCUGGAAGUAAUGAUGUGCUUAUGAGAACACGAGUUUUGCCCAGUAAGACAUUGACAAAUUAUCGUUGAAGAAUCUGAUCCAAAAGUAUAUCCUCUAAUUCCUUCGAAACUUGAACUUAUACAUUAUAUAUAUAUAUAUAUAUAAUUGAAACGAUCCCAACAAUAGAAUUAAAUAGGAUGGAGUAAAAAUGAAAUAAAAUUGUGAAAGUCUUUCAAUGUUGCUGGACGAAUAGUAGU